AGCUGGAAAGAGGGAGUACGUGAAGGCAGCGGCCGAUAUGCAUGGAGUAAUGGCAACAUGUAUAUUGGGAGCUGGAAAGAUGGAAAAAUGUGUGGUAGAGGUGUUAUGAAAUGGUUCGAUGGAGAUCUUUUUGAUGGAUGUUGGUUGAAUGGUUUAAGACACGGUUCAGGCUGUUACCGAUUUGCUGAUGGAAGUUACUACUUUGGGGUGUGGACUAAAGGGCUAAAAGAUGGACAUGGAAUGUUUUAUCCUGCUGGAAGUAAGCAUCGCUUUCUGAGGAAGUGCAGUGAUAGGUCUGAUGAGAAGAGGAAAAGGCGGCUCUCACACAUUUCAUCCUCUAAUUCAGAGUCUGUGAAACCUAAAGUGAAGCGUAGUUUUUCAGAGAGAAUUUCCUCUAGCUUGCUCAGAAGUUCAGGAAGCAUAUCGCAGAGGACUACAUCACUGGGAGAAGACAUUGCCCUCGGUGAUUCCAGCAGAGACAUUAUGACCUGUGAUUCAUCAAGUGUAUUAUCUCAAAGCUCUCUUGAUGACAGGACUGAAUUUCUGGAAACGGGGUCUGUAGCUUAUGAAAGGGAAUACACGCAAGGAGUCCUAAUCAAAGAAAGGAUUGUAAAUAUUAGUAAACUAUCUCGCAAAAGUAAACAACGGUGUAAAUUUCACGCGAAAGAAGUAAAGAGGAAGUCAUGUGUGGACUUUCUUGAAGGCCGUAAGAGCUACUAUCUGAUGCUUAAUUUGCAACUUGGCAUCAGGUAUUCUGUUGGUAAGAUCACUCCUGUGCCUAUCCGUGAA
rnacentral:misc_RNA from 1 species